UCCAUAAAAUGAAAAAAUUAAAGUAACGCAUACGUCAUCCGUGAAAUUGCAAUGAAAAAUAAUCUUGUCCUUGACGUAAUAAAAAAAUAUUUCCCAUGACAGAAAUAAAAUUUUAUAAAAUUGAAAUUUACAGUGUGAUAAAAAUUUGAUUUCUUUAUAGUAUAGAAUUCAUCAUAAAUAUUUGUUGCAUUACUUUCGAUCGAUAUUGCAUUUAGAUUAUUAAAAUUUCGCAUGAAUGAACUCUAGAAGCCGUCACGGACGAUCAAAGUCACUAAUGUUCACGGUCACCUUGAUUGUUAUGUGCAAUACAAGUAACGUAACUCAAAUUGUUAUACACUACUUAUAUAUAUAUUAGUAAAUGAUACAGAGGAUUUUAUGUAUGCAGUAAUAAUGAUACUAUAAAAAGACACGUUGUCACCGUUAACUGACGACAAUCGGGAAGGGCGUCACGGCAAACGAUAUACAAACAUUGCAUUACGAUAUCAAGACAACCCGAUUCACUAGAUAUAUAUCGUAUAUAUGUGAUAAUUAUUAUGUGUUUAACAAAAUUAUGAUGCGUCAUUGAUAUAAAUAAAUAGUGAUUUUUUUUUUUAUAUGUACCUAAAGAUCAGAACGUUUUCCGCGCAACGAAAAUGAAAAAAAUUUGUGUAAUUUGAUUGCUUAAGGGAUAGUUCUGGAGAUUGGAUGUGGACAUGUGGCCUAAGAUUUUCGGCUGACAUACCAGCAUUCAUACGCGAAACAUUUCAGAAAUCUUGUCAUCCAGUAGAGUUUUUGCCUGCUAUUUUUUUUUUUUUCCGUUGCGCGAAGAACGUUCUGAUCUUCAGGUACAUAAAAAUGUUCCGAUCUUCAGAUACAUUUUUCAAAUCUAUUAUUCAGCUAUUAAAUAAUUUAUGAAUGAAUAUAAAAACAAUCUAUUAUCUAAUCUGACUGUAAUCAUAUUAAAAAAACAAAAUAAAAAGUGUAAUAAAUGAAAGUACAAGUGAAACAUUAAGAUUACUAUCAUAAAAUUUUUCACGGUCAACAUUUAAAAGGUGAUAUUAUCAAGAUUCAAAAGUGUUACGAAUUGUUUCUCAGAUCUUUUCCGAUAAGUGGAUAUGUGGAUGCUAAGAUAGUGCAUUUGAGUGUAUCCGCUUUUAUGUUUACCACAAAAAGAGAGAGUAGGAUAAUGAAGAUGGAAUAAAGUAGUACUUUAUUAAUUUCAAAAAUAAACUAUUCAUCUAAAAGUUGCAGGCCUCCCCAACCAGAACUACCCCUCAAGUCACCUUUCAGCUGUCAAGUUACAUAAUUUUUUUUCAGGAAACCAUGAAUAUUAAAAAAAAUAAAAAAAUUAAGUAAUUGAUUAUAAAAAUGAAUAAUCAGUUGCUAUCCGGAAACAUGCACCCAAGAUCGUAAUCGUAAAUCCUCGCUUACGGUUGUCUUCAUCAUCGCUAACCACAUAACAGAAGAAAUAUAAGAGGAAUGAUCGUUUGACCGAGUGCUGCGGCGCGACGCAUCGUUGCUAACUUCAUUCUUAAUUGCUGGGUUAAUGACCGCAACACAAUCUCAAAGUAGCCAAAUGCAUUAUAUAUGCUAGUCUCAAGUGAAAGUGGACCACUAAACACGGAAGAGUUAAGUUGAGUGAAAAAGAGUAGAGAUGGACAUUAAAUGGGAUUAGAAAAAGUAUACAAACUUUUUCCGAUAGCAAUACGACAGAUCCUAGAGCUCUAUCUCGAUACGCAUCUAAUCAUUUUAAAUUCAUUAACCGUUAAUUUUAAUUUAACAAAUCACUAAACUUAUUUUUUUUAUUAAUUUUGACGAUAAUUAUUUAAAAAAUUUUUAUCGACCCAAUUUAUAAGUGUAUAUACAUGCAUAUAUGGAUGUAUGUAUAGACAAGUAUACAUACAUUUUUUAGUAUUAUGAAAUUAACGUAAAAAAAAGGUGUAAAACUAACGGAAUUAAACUAAUCUUGAUAUGCGAUGAUUAAUUUCCGGUCAAUGACUUGAGAUGUAAUAAUAUUUUUAUGCAUAAAAUUGAAACUAGUGCGGUCUAUGCUAAUGGAAUGAAAAAAAGGCAAUAUCUGUAUCGAUAAGUAUACCGUAUACUUAACAUUAAAUAUUAUUCGCGCUACAUGGACGAUUUGAUUUUUUAUUUUCAUACUUACAACUUCCGUUUACUUUUAUUUUAAUUAACAGUUAUCGGAACGGAUAUAAAUAAUAAUUUUAGUAUUUCAUUUGUGGUUAGUAUGACAAGAUUUUUUUUUGCGUAAAAAGGAAUUUAGAAAUUUACGGAAGUAAAUGUAUACGUUUAAUAUUUUGAUCAUUAUUUUGUGAAUUUUAUCCAGCAAUUAAAGACGUAUAUUUGUGUUCUGUAAUUUUGUUUUCUAAUCUUUAGCUUUUAUGAGAUUCUUUGACUUUUGAAUAUUAUUUGUUUACAAUCAUUCAGUUGUAGAUGCGCAAACGCUAAUAAAAUAUUUUUAUUUAUUGGUACAGAAAACAAUCAACCAGCGAAAGAAUUUUUAGGAUGAGCCAUCUAUUGACGACAGUUACACAGAAAAAAAGGAUUUCUUGACACAAAAAAUUUUUUUCCAGCCCGAGAAAUUUUUUGCAUUAUGAAUUGAAAACAGAAAUUUUCUUACGGCGAGAAUGAAUUUUCUCCGAGCAAGAAAAAACUUUUUGAGUAAAUAAAUUUUUUCUCGUCCCAAGAAAAUUUUUGUGUUUAAUUUAUAAUACAAAAAAAUUCUUGCGCCCAGAAAUUCGUUUUUUUUCGUGUAAUAAUUGAAACGAUUGACAUUAAUUUCAAAAUAUGUUUUAGAAAACAGUUGUAACUAAUUAUGAAUAAAUAUAGAAAUAAAAAAUUAAUAUUAAACAAUAAAGACAGUGUGUCCACUUUGGGAGCUGAAACGAUGAGCUUGUAAAUCUCUAUUUAUACACCUGAAAACACGUGACAUGAAAUUGCUGGUUGCAAGUUAGGUCAUUGCUUCUCAAAUAAAUCUUCCGGUUUAUAAACUAAUCUACAAAAAUGUCAUUCAUUUUUUUUAGUGUUUUUUUUAAAAACUGAUUGUAAAGUUUGGAAAAUGACUAAAAAUUCAAUAAAUAUUUUGACAUUCCCGUCGAAAUUAACUUUCGUUCUGUAAAAAAAAAAGAGCCAAGAAAUUUUCAAAUAAAAAAAAUCGGUCUGUCAGUUGACCCUGCGGGCCAGCCCCAAAACUUCCCGCUGUUUUCGAGCUCGCUGAGCUCGAAAACAUUAUUGUGAAUAUAUUUUCGAGCUCUUCGAGCUCGCAAAUACUUUUGUAUGCCAUUGUUUUGUAAAAAACCAUUUUUUAGCAUUUCUUUCUCCCACGAUAUCUCGCGAACGAAUUAACGGAUUUUGAUGGUUGAGGCGGCAAUCGACGCGUUUUGUCAAGUUCUAAAGCUGAUAAAAUUUUGGAUUCGAUUUAUCGAGUCGUUUUUGAGAUAUUUCAGGAAAAAUAAAAAAAUUUUUUUUUUUUAAUUCUUUCGACAACGGUUUCUCUUGAACGAAUGAACCGAUUUUGACGGUUGAGGUGGCAUUCGACGCGGCUUAUAAAGCUCUAGAGCCCAGUCCAUUUUGGAAUUAAUCCAUCGAGCACAUUAAAAGUUAUCCAAAAAAAACAUUUUUGAAAAAACUUUAUUUUUGGAAUAUCUCUGAACGAGCCCUACCGAUCAAGCUCAAUUUUCUCUCGGCUUCAAGAUAUUAACAAUACGCGUCGAAUGGCACCUUAAAGUUCAAAAUCGGUUCAUCCGUUCAAAAGAUACAGGUAUUUACAUACGUACGUACAUACAUACAUACAUACACUCGGACAUCAUCUUGAAAUUAGUCAGAAUAGCUUCCUAGGACCUCAAAACGUCGACAUCUGAUGGAAAUUCGAUUUUCGUAAAUCGGACCGAAACCAAUAACUUCCCGAAUUUUUGAAAAUUUACAAUUUUCUUAGCGGGAAGUUAAAAAAACAAAAACUGGUAAUGAAAUGACACAUUAAUGUCAAUUGAUACCAUCAAUUAAAACUUAAUUAUUGUAUUGGAACGAGAGAUACCCAACACGAAAAUAAAUUUACAAAGGCGCGGUCAUGUCAUACUGUGUAUACAAAAUGACCUAGAAAUCGUUAACUGUUUCAUUAGAAACUACUUCAAUGUAGUUAACAUACAUGUAUAAUCUUUUUCAUAAAUCAGUAUAGCAGAUUAAAGGUUAAUAUUUAAGUAUUUAGAACACUGCGCGGUAAUAAUUUAAAACAACAUAAUAAAAGACUGAAUUAUUUUAAAAAACGAUGAAUCUUAAACGCCUGUAAUUCACAAUAAAAAUAAGACAAAGAUGUAAGAUAAUUUAACACCCACAUACGCCUACUCGGCUUUUUCUUUCUCAUAACUGAGGCUUAUUUUAAUAAAAAUCUAAAAGUGAGAGUAGAGGAGAAAAUAAAUCGAUUCACACAGAGUUUAAUUCAUUGGAAAGUCAAAGCAACUAUUGUAAUAAUUUUCAUUAAUUCUCACAACUUAAUGUAAUAAUCUGUUAUAUACAUUUUUUUUGUAUUUUAUAUUUUUUCAUAUUAUUGCUAUCCGAAAACCAUCAACUUCUCACUCAUGGAAAUGGAUACAAGGUGAAAUCACUUUAGAUUUAUGAACACCUACACCACGAUAUUUAAUAAGCAACAAUAUUUUACGUGACAAUGAAUUUAUAAUAAAUUUUUUUUUAUCAUUUUAAUACUUUGCGUUAAAUCAAACUAAGGAUUUUUAAGUACUGCUUGUAAUUAAAGUGUUUUUGUUUCAAACUAAAGAUACUAAUGGUCGUUUUUCGUUCCAUGUUUUGUAAAUAGUUAUAAGCGCGACUAAUUAAACUUUAUAUAAAUACAUAUAAUGGUACUCGGAGACGGGAAACAUUGCAGGACAUGAAAUAUAAUUAUUAUUGAUGCCUAAGUACCCGCAAGCAACAUAACAACUACAAGCGUCCAAAUGACUCAAGCAGACAGAGCAGCUUGAAAUUGAAAUGUAUAACAAUAUUUAAAGUAGUGUCAUGCCUAGAGCGAUGAAAUACAUUUAUGUAUAAAUGUCAUCAGCUUUAUAAAGAAGCUCAGAAAUGUCAAAGUAUAAAUAAAUGUUAUUUUGAAAAUAUCUACACAUUCAAAUUAUAAGACGAGUGAAUAUAGUUAACUGUAAAUGUAUGAAUAUAUAGAUAUAUGAACACGGAGAAAUUAUUCUCGUUUAAAAUGCGAUGGUGUCAUAGUAAAACUGAACCAUGUUGGCCAGCUGACGGAAAUUGAAGUAAACGCAUGCGAAAAUUACUAUGGCCAGAGUAAAAUUUACAACGAUUAAAUCAUAAAUUACUGUAACCACUGUAAAUAAAUAUAUAAAAAUAUAUUUCUUAAAAUCGAUCAGAACACUAUUUUUUUAGGAGCUUGGCAUUAAAAUAGAAAUAACUAGAAAACAAUGCAGAAUUAAAAAAAAAUUUAUCAGAGAUAAUUUGUAGGAAACAAAAUUGUCUACAAAAAAGGUUCUAUGACAUUUUAUGAUAAGUCCGAUAGUUUCGCCGAAAAAGUAAAAAGAUCUCGAAAUUUACUUUAACUUGACUUCGAGGUCCAAUAACUUUUGAACAGAUGGAUUUAUCGAAAAAUUAUAAGAGACUUUUUUUGUAGAGCGUUAAAUUUCCUACAGAAAUGUAUGCUGGGCUUAUUCGUACAAUCAGCCAUUGCCGAGGUAAAAAAUUCAAAACUAAAAAAAUUUUUUUUCCCAUGUUAUUUAAAUGGGAAAUCGAAUUUUUCGAUGCGCUAAGGCCCUAAUUGACUUAAAAUUAUUUUUCAAGCGGGAAUAUUUUUUUUGUACUAUAAAUUGUUAGUUUUUCAGGUAUGACAGAAAAAAAAACAUCGCCUAAAUAUGAAACACCCUAAUAUAUAUGUAUUAAGGAGGGUCUAUAGUAAUUUUUGUCGAAGCUUUUCUCUCAAACAAAAUCUCUAAGCCCCAAAUUAAGAACGAGGCUCAUUGCAUUACUCUAUAAUCUAGUAAUUAACGUUUUCAUUUUCCAAAAAUGUUCAUUCGUUUAAGAGAAAAACGUGAACAGUUUCCAUUUACUGCGCAAGUGCAACAAAGAUAGUACCGUUUGUCUACUUGAAUGUGAUAGUAAAAAAGUGCAGACCUCGCCUAAUAUACUUAUAUUUUUAUUAAAUAAAAAUAAAUGUUGUUAUUAAAAGAAAGGAGAUACUUCCGUAAUGAAAAGUAUCGAUUAUUACUAUUAAUAUUAUAAAUUAUUGCUGCGAUAAUCGAUAGUGAAAUCGAAUUCGUUCUCAUACAGACUUAUGUAGGUGGACAUCAUUCCUAACCCACACGAUUUCGAAAAUCUCAUAUACAUUUUUUUCGUUUAUGAAAAUAAAUAUACGCAGCUAUUAAUUAAUUGUGUAAUAAGCCAAUAAAUUUAUGAAAUUAUUUCAGUUGAAAAUAAAAAAUAAAAUGUAUUUUUAGUGAAAAUUUAGAAAAGUAAAAGUGUAAAUUUUUUUGAAUUGAAUAAUUUUAUCUGCAGGAAGUUAUAUACGACUUGUCUAAAUGAAACAGAGCGAAUGGAUCUUUUCUGGUGUUGUAAUAUAACCACCUACGCAUAAUUUUAGUUGUUUUAAAAAUUAGUCUGCACUGUUUUCAAUGAAAUUAAUAAAUAAUUCAAUAAAUGAAUAUUUUUAUGAAUUGAAUCAUAUAAUCUUGACCUAAUCCCGAAAAGGAAAUUUUCUUACUACAAUUUUAUUUCGACAAAUCAUACUGUAAUAAUGCUUCU